UCUCCAAGGAGAAUCAUAGUACAGAAGACAACUUCUACUAGAUUUUCAGAGCUUCUCCUAUGUCUGCUGUUGCUUAAAAAGUCUGUCGUGGCUUAAGAAUAACCAGCUCAAGAUAAUUUUUAUGCCAAAGAGAAGUAUUGGGGGAUAGCAUAUACUGCUCUCCUGACUGGACAUUUUCACAGGUAACUCAACAUGUACUAUGUUGUUGAAUUUAAUUCUUAUAGAAAAUGUGUGAAACAAAUUAUCUCCAUUAUACAAAUAAAAUAGACUCAUGAAGUUAAUUACAUCAUUGAAAAUCACAUACAUAGUGUCUAAACUAAGGAUUCCAGUCAUUUCUCUCACCCCAAAUUUAGUACUCUUUCCAUACAUUGUCUAUCUCUGUAAUCUUAGACAAUAUGGGCCAGGAGGAUAAAACUGGGAAAUAUUUUAUAAAGCAUAUCUACAACUUUCUCAGAAGUUAUUUUCCCAAGGAAGACCAUAAGUGUGAAACCUAUAUCUGCUUUUCAGAUACAAACUAGUAUUUUGUUUUGUCCACAAUCUAUUAUAAUAAUUUAAUGAUCUGACAUUACUUUGCCAACUAAGGUCCAUCUAGUCAAGGCUAUGGUUUUUCCUGUGGUCAUGUAUGGAUGUGAGAGUUGGACUGUGAAGAAGGCUGAGCGCCGAAGAAUUGAUGCUUUUGAACUGUGGUGUUGGAGAAGACUCUUGAGAGUCCCUUGGACUGCAAGGAGAUCCAAGCAGUCCAUUCUGAAGGAGAUCAACCCUGGGAUUUCUUUGGAAGGAAUGAUGCUGAAGCUGAGACUCCAGUACUUUGGCCACCAUGCGAAGAGUUGACUCAUUGGAAAAGACUCUGAUGCUGGGAGGGAUUGGGGGCAGGAGGAGAAGCGGACGACCAAAGAUGAGAUGGCUGGAUGGACGUGAGUCUGAGUGAACUACGGGAGAAUGGUGAUGAACAGGGAGGCCUGGCGUGCUGCGAUUCAUGGGGUCGCAAAGAGUUGGACACGACUGAGCAACUGAAUUGAACAUAAUUGGAUUUUAUGAGGCUCAAAAAAAGCCUAGAAUACAGGAAAAAUAAAGUCAAUCAAUUUAACCCCACUGCUAGAAGUUCUACAAUAAGCACACUCUAAUCCAAAAAUGCUGUAGGGCUCUAGAAGCAGCCUAUUUGUGAUCAAAUGAGCCCUGAAACUGACUUUUGAUGUUAAGGGAAGGGUAGGAUAGAUGUUCCGAAUGAUCCUCCUCUUGUAAUGCAAGUUGAUCCUGCAUAACUACAACAUACUUGCUUUUUAAAUUAGAGUUGAACGCAAAAGCAAACAUAGAAAAUCUCCAAAGAUUAAGAUAUGUAGGGGAAGAUAAAAAGAACAGUGAGCUAAACCCUGAAUAAUCCCAGGAAACAAAUAUAGAAUUUGAGGUUCCCCAAUUCUAAUACCAGCCCUGGGCUCAGGGGACACCUAGGCCAUUGUCUUCAAGGUAGGGAUGCUGCACAGUAAGAUGGGAUGCCCCACAGGAGCUAAAGUG
ensembl:lncRNA